GAUGAACGCUGGCGGCGUGCCUAAUACAUGCAAGUCGAGCGAACGGACGAGAAGCUUGCUUCUCUGAUGUUAGCGGCGGACGGGUGAGUAACACGUGGAUAACCUACCUAUAAGACUGGGAUAACUUCGGGAAACCGGAGCUAAUACCGGAUAAUAUUUUGAACCGCAUGGUUCAAAAGUGAAAGACGGUCUUGCUGUCACUUAUAGAUGGAUCCGCGCUGCAUUAGCUAGUUGGUAAGGUAACGGCUUACCAAGGCAACGAUGCAUAGCCGACCUGAGAGGGUGGUCAGCCACACAGGAAGAGGGACGCGGUCCAGACUCCUACGGGAGGCAGCAGUAGGAAAUCUGCCGCAAUGGGCGAAAGCCUGACGGAGCAACGCCGCGUGAGUGAUGAAGGUCUACGGAUCGUAAAACUCUGUUAUUAGGGAAUAACAUAUGUGUAAGUAACUGUGCACAUCUUGACGGUACCUAAUCAGAAAGCCACGGCUAACUACGU
rnacentral:rRNA from 1 species